UGGGGAAUAUUGCGCAAUGGGCGAAAGCCUGACGCAGCGACGCAGCGUGAGGGACGACGGCCUUCGGGUUGUAAACCUCUUUCAGCAGGGACGAAGCGAAAGUGACGGUACCUGCAGAAGAAGCACCGGCUAACUACGUGCCAGCAGCCGCGGUAAUACGUAGGGUGCAAGCAUUGUCCGGAUUUAUUGGGCGUAAAGAGCUCGUAGGCGGCUUGUCACGUCGGGUGUGAAAACUCGGGGCUCAACCCCGAGCCUGCACUCGAUACGGGCUAGCUAGAGUGUUGCAGGGGAGACUGGAAUUCCUGGUGUAGCGGUGAAAUGCGCAGAUAUCAGGAGGAACACCGGUGGCGAAGGCGGGUCUCUGGGCAACUACUGACGCUGAGGAGCGAAAGCGUGGGGAGCGAACAGG
rnacentral:rRNA from 1 species